UACGUAGGGGGCAAGCGUUGUCCGGAGUUACUGGGCGUAAAGCGCACGCAGGCGGUCUUUUAAGUUUGGAGUGACAGUUGGUGGCUUAACUGCCAAAGUGCUUCGAAAACUGAGAGAUUUGAGGGCUUCAGAGGGACACGGAAUUCCGGGUGGAGUGGUGAAAUGACGCAGAUAUCAGGAGGAACACCGGUGGCGAAGGCGGGUCUCUGGGCCGAUACUGACGCUGAGGAGCGAAAGCGUGGGGAGCGAACAGG
rnacentral:rRNA from 1 species